rnacentral:rRNA from 1 species
UACAGAGGGUGCUAGCGUUAAUCGGAUUUACUGGGCGUAAAGCGUGUGUAGGCGGUUCGUUAAGUCGGAUGUGAAAGCCCUGGGCUCAACCUAGGAAUUGCAUUCGAUACUGGCGAGCUAGAGUACGGUAGAGGGCGGCGGAAAUUCCGGGUGUAGCGGUGAAAUGGCGUAGAUAUCCGGAGGAACACCGGUGGCGAAGGCGGCCUGCUGGGCAGUUGCUGACACUGAGGCGCGACAGCGUGGGGAGCAACAGG